rnacentral:rRNA from 1 species
GACGAACCGAGCGAACGUUGUUCGGAAUCACUGGGCUUAAAGGGCGCGUAGGCGGGUGCUCAAGUCCGUGGUGAAAUCCUCCGGCUCAACCGGAGAACUGCCUCGGAUACUGGGCGUCUCGAGUGUGGUAGGGGUAUGCGGAACUAUCGGUGGAGCGGUGAAAUGCGUUGAUAUCGAUAGGAACUCCGGUGGCGAAGGCGGCAUACUGGACCACCACUGACGCUGAGGAGCGAAAGCGUGGGGAGCGAACAGG